UGAACUUGGCAUUCCCCUGCAAGCCAGGAAGGAGGCAGGAAGAGUUCUCUGCAGCAGACUCUCUGCCCAGACCAUCCAACACAGCUUUUGCAAGAAAGACUAGAGCCCAUACUUACGAGGGAGCCGAAGCUGAGUGCACUAAGAAGACUGUUCCAGUCACGUAAGCAGGGUGCUGAGGGAUCUGGAUCACGUCGGGGUCACCAGAUGAGGGAACAAACAAGGCGGAAACGGUGUCAAUGCAGGACCUCCUGAACAUCAGAAGGAAACUAGUACAUUUUAAAAGCAACAGGCAACAUAGCCUCUAAGCAUGGGCAGAGUACAUUUCUACUCUUCAAGCCACAGGUUUCCACUUAAUGAUUGAUAUGAGUAAAAUUACGCAAAAAAGUCAAAUUGAAAUUAAAAAGGUUCUAUUUUCAGAACCAGGAAGUAACUCUCCAGAACCUGCCAGGACUGGAGGAGGAGGAGGAGGACGACAACAACAACAACAACAACAACGACUCAGGUGACCAACUAACCUCCUCCCCUGGCUGUUCCUGAGGCUGGCCUUUUCUGUGCUUACCCAGUCAUUCUGGAGUUCAAGAAGGGCCAGGAGCCCACCUCACCGCUGGAGGUUUGAC